AUUGAACGCUGGCGGCAGGCCUAACACAUGCAAGUCGAGCGGAUGAAGGGAGCUUGCUCCUGGAUUCAGCGGCGGACGGGUGAGUAAUGCCUAGGAAUCUGCCUGGUAGUGGGGGAUAACGUCCGGAAACGGGCGCUAAUACCGCAUACGUCCUGCGGGAGAAAGUGGGGGGUCUUCGGACCUCACGCUAUCAGAUGAGCCUAGGUCGGAUUAGCUAGUUGGUGGGGUAAAGGCCUACCAAGGCGACGAUCCGUAACUGGUCUGAGAGGAUGAUCAGUCACACUGGAACUGAGACACGGUCCAGGCUCCUACGGGAGGCAGCAGUGGGGAAUAUUGGACAAUGGGCGAAAGCCUGAUCCAGCCAUGCCGCGUGUGUGAAGAAGGUCUUCGGAUUGUAAAGCACUUUUAGUUGGGAGGAAGGGCAGUAAGUUAAUACCUUGCUGUUUUGACGUUACCAACAGAAUAAGCACCGGCUAACUUCGUG
rnacentral:rRNA from 1 species